rnacentral:rRNA from 1 species
GAUGAACGCUAGCUACAGGCUUAACACAUGCAAGUCGAGGGGUAACGAGAGGAAAGCUUGCUUUCCUUGUCGACGACCGGCGCACGGGUGAGUAACGCGUAUCCAACCUGCCCCCAACUAGGGAAUAACCUUGCGAAAGUAAGACUAAUACCCUAUAAUUUCCUCAGAUGUCAUCUGACGAGGAAUAAAGAUUUAUCGGUUGUGGAUGGGGAUGCGUCUGAUUAGCUUGUUGGCGGGGUAACGGCCCACCAAGGCAACGAUCAGUAGGGGUUCUGAGAGGAAGGUCCACCACAUUGGAACUGAGACACGGUCCGAACGCCUACGGGAGGCAGCAGUGAGGAAUAUUGGUCAAUGGGCGGAAGCCUGAACCAGCCAAGUAGCGUGCAGGAUGACGGCCCUAUGGGUUGUAAACUGCUUUUAUACAGGAAUAAAGUUAGCCACGUGUGGUUAUUUGUAGGUACUGUAUGAAUAAGGACCGGCUAAUUCCGUGCCAGCCGCCGCGGUAA